rnacentral:sRNA from 1 species
CAUGACAGGUACGGCACAGGGAGCAACAGUACGAGCUUUCCCCUUACCACCCUGUCCGUGUCAAGGCUGAACGGGAGGGGCCACCUCUAGA